CCACAUAGUUAGAGAAAGGGGAGGGGAGGAGGAGGAGGAGGGCGGCGCUACUUGGGUUGUUGCGGCACAAAAUUAUGGGCGCGAUAGCCUCCGAUGAUUCGGCUGAUGUCGACCCAUCGGCAUUCAUGGGCCAAGGAAGUAUUGAACAGAGCACAGGUAUCAAUCCAGGGCUGGUUGUUCUUAUUGUGGUAUUGGGAGCCUUAUUGAUCUUUGGUCUAGGAAAUUACUUCUUAUAUCAAUAUGCCCAGAAGAAUCUUCCAGUUAAGAGAAAGAAGCCUGUGUCGAAGAAAAAACUUAAAAAGGAAAAAUUGAAAGGAGGAGUACGUCCAGCUGGAGAUUAAGUGUAAUACGCUUCGAGUACGCUUGCAACUUCCUGAUAAGAAUAUAUUUCUUUUCCAAUAAAGGUUUGUGAUAAAGCUAUAGCCAUCGAUUAGUCUUGGUUAUUGCACAGAGACGUAGCCUAUUUCGCUGCAGUGUAGUGGGUAGUCGGAUCUCUGAGCAGACCAUGACUUUACACUGUGAGCGCAAAGUAUAGGCUGGUUGUAGGUUGUCAGUGUUCAGUACUAUGAUGUCCAGAGUGGGUGGAUGGAAUUCUAUGUUACUUUCACCAGAAGGUGCAGUUGUCUGUAUGCGCUAUUUUGUAUCUUCGAGACAGAAGAAAUGAGAGGUAUUCUGGUAUUCCUCCUGCUUUGUAUUUUGGUGCAACUUAAAAGGAGGUUUAUUGUAUGUAUAUUCCUUCAGGUUUCAAGUAAAGAUGUUACAACUUUGUAAGUC